rnacentral:rRNA from 1 species
CACGUAGGGUGCGAGCGCUGUCCGGAAUUAUUGGGCGUAAGGAGCUCGUAGGCGGUGUGUCGCGUCGGCCGUGAAAACCUGGGGCUUAACUCUGGGCGUGCGGUCGAUACGGGCAUCACUGGAGUUCGGCAGGGGAGACUGGAAUUCCUGGUGUAGCGGUGAAAUGCGCAGAUAUCAGGAGGAACACCGGUGGCGAAGGCGGGUCUCUGGGCCGAUACUGACGCUGAGGAGCGAAAGCGUGGGGAGCGAACAGG